rnacentral:rRNA from 1 species
AUGGCGGCGAUCGGCGGCAUGCUGGCCGCUGCCAUCCUCAAGGUUGUGGGUGACCAGGUUGGUUCUCUGAUCGGGGGUCAGAUUGCGCUGCAGAUGAAUUUGGACAAGGACCUCAGGAAGAUGAAGAUGGCGCUGGAGUCUGUCGAGGCAGUGCUCAAGGUCGCGGAGAGGCAGUCCAUCACCGACGAACUGACGGGUCUUUGGCUGAAGCGGCUCAAGGACUUCUUGUAUGAGGUCUCUGACAUGAUUGAUGAGUUCGAAGCAGACACACAAGCCAUCACCCAGCCGUCUGCGCGCAAGUUCUCUUUCAAAAACUAUUUGGCAAUUAUGAUCCCUUGCCUGACAAUUGGUCCCAACAUUACAAUGGCCAAUAACAUGAAGAAGAUGAGAGACUAUCUGAAGGUCAUAACAGAUCAACACAGAGAAUUCGAAUUAAUAGAAAGGACUAAUGCCAUUGAGCCAUUGGUUACUGAUAUACAGGACACAUCGUCAAUCUCGGAGACACAAAUCAUUGGGAGGACCAAGGAGAAAGAGAAAAUAUUGGCUUCUUUAUCUGAGAGCAGGAUGAAAGAGAUCACAGUCCUUCCGAUAUAUGGUAUUGGAGGCCUUGGCAAGACGACUUUAGCAAAAAUGGUUUACAAUAGUUCCGAAUUCAGAGAAUACUCCCAAGUAUGGGUUUAUGUGUCCCAGAAAUUUGAUGAGAUCAAAAUCGGAAAUUCUAUAAUAUCACAACUAUCAGAGAAAGGGGAAGAGAGCAGGUACACAGGAAAGCAGAUGGUCCAUAAUUCACUUCAAAAGCUCCUUGCCAAUAAGAAUAUUCUUAUUGUUUUAGAUGACCUAUGGGAGGGUGAGGACUUUAAACUGGAACGUCUGAUGGAUAUGUUAAAGGUUGGGAAGGACAGUAGUGUGACUGUUAUAGUAACCACACGAGAUGAGGGCAUUGCAAAUAAAAUCUCUACCAUCCAACCACACAAACUAGAACCAUUGACUGAUGACAUGUGUUGGACUAUAAUAAAGCAGAAGAGUGGAUUUAAAUCAAGAGGUGACAAAGAACAAUUGGAGGAAAUAGGGAAGGUCAUUGCAAUGAAAUGCGGUGGUGUGGCUUUAGCAGCUAAAGCACUUGGACACACACUGAAAUCAAUGAAGGAGUAUGGUCAAUGGGAAAAAGUGAGAGACAGUAAUAUUUGGACUGCAUCUUCUUUAAGUGAUACAUCUUCUACGGAAGUGCUUCCAUCUCUGAAGUUGAGCUAUUGUGUUAUGCCUUCACAUUUGAAGCUAUGUUUUGCCUAUUGUUCAAUAUUUCCAAAAGGUUACAAGAUACUUAAAGAUGAUCUUAUUCACCAGUGGGUUUCUCUUGGUUACUCUACUUGGGAGCUUGCUGAGAAAUGCAUUAGUCAACUUUUGGGGCUCUGUUUCUUUGAACAAUUGAAGUCAUCACCGACUGUUGAGCUAUAUGAUAGUGACAUUAUAUUGCUGACAAUGCAUGACCUGGUGCACGAUUUGGCAAGAUCGGUCAUGGACGAUGAAAUUCUUUUUGUUGGCAAAAGCACUAAUGCUGCAGAAAGCUGCUACCACUAUGCAUUGCUCGAUGAUUGUAGUAAGCCUUUGGGAUUGGACUUGUCCAAGAUAAGAGCGUUGCGUUUUAUGGAUUGUGACAAAUAUGAACUUCAUGAUGCUGCAUUUUCAUCUGCCAAGUCUUUGCGUGUCUUGGACUUAAGUGAGUGCGCCAUAUAUACGUUGGCGGAUUGUAUUGGUGAACUGAAGCAAUUGAGAUAUCUUAAUGCUCCAACAGUCCAAGAUGCAAAGAUUCCAGACAGUCUCACCAAGCUCUCAAAAUUAAUUUACCUGAAUCUUCAUGGAUCUCCUACAAUUAAAGCAUUACCAGAGUCAAUUGGAGAAAUUGAGGGUCUAAUGUAUCUUGAUUUGUCAAGUUGUUCCAGCAUUAAAAAACUGCCAGAAUCAUUCAGGAGGCUACAAAAGUUGGCGCAUUUGGAUUUAUCAAAUUGCUCGUCUGUUGAAGGAAUAUCGGUGUUCUUAGAGAGCUUCACACAACUAGAGUCUUUGAACUUGUCAUACUGCCCAAAUAUCGGUGAUAUACCAGAAGUUCUGUCCGGCCUAUCCAAACUGCAGUAUUUAAACUUAUCAAACAGCUCAUAUCUUGAAUGUCAUAAAGAAGCAGAAUUUUUGGGUGCCCUCAGAAAACUUGAGUAUUUGAACUUAUCUUCAAGGGAAUGUGGACUCAAAAAGCUCCCUGAAUCUUUCGGCGGAUUCAGUCAACUCAGGUACUUAAACUUAUCAGGUUGGCGAGAUAUUCAGGCGAGAUUAUUUGGGAGUCUGAAGAAUCUGCUCCAUCUUGACUUAUCAGGUUGUCAUAUGGUUGGUGGUGUACAUGAAGCUUUGGUCGGUCUUACCAGUCUGCAACAUUUGAAUUUACAAGAUACACAGCUCAGUUUGUUGCCAGAUGAUCUGACCAAGCUCCGGUAUUUAAACCUAUCUCGACUGAGAAAGAUGGAUGCAGUCAAUUUUCUCUCUGCAGAAACCUGGGACAUUCUCAUCAACCAGAUAUGCAGAAUUAAUCUUUCAGAGCUAGAGCAUUUGGACUUGUCUGGAAAUUUUCAUAUGAAAAGAAUACCUGAAAGUAUUUGUAGCCUGACAAAACUGCACACAUUGAACCUCUCGGAUUGCACAUAUUUGGCAAAAAUACCUGAAAGUAUAUGUACAGCUGGUAGCUUGAAGUUUCUUUAUUUAAAGAAUUGUUACAGUCUUUAUGAAAUACCUCAGCUCGGUAGCAGUGCAAUAUCGUUACCACACUUUGUGGUGCAUGCUGCUGCUGAUGGAUCUAGCAGCAAUCUUGUCCUGCUAAAGCCCACAGAUCCUUUUCAGCUGGAGAUAACUGAACUUGAAAAUGUGAAGUCCGCACAAGAGGCACAUAGUAUAAAAUUGAUGGAAAAGCAAAGCAUUCGGAAGUUGAAACUGGAGUGGACUCGAGGUGUUGAGAGAUUUGUGGAUGACAAAAUGUUGCUGGAAAAACUAGUGCCUCCAAGCACAUUGAGUGAAUUGGAGAUAUGUGGUUAUAAAAGUGUCAUCUUUCCAGGCUGGGUAGUGGGCCAACUACCAAACCUGGACUCAUUGGUUCUCAGAGAUAUGGCAAAUCUGGAAGAGUGGGACACUUCAUACUCCACCGGUGAGGAGAACGUGUUAACACGAGUGAAAAUACUUGAUUGCCCAAUGCUAAGGAUGAAAGGGCCUCUGCCUAAAGCUGAAGAAUGGGAGAUAAUAUGCAGUGAUAAUGUGUUAUCAUCAUGGGAUGAGUGCAUUGUGUCACAGACCAGUGCUUAUUCCUAUUCUCCAGUAACUACUAUGUUGUCAUUUAGAGACUGCAAGGGGCCUCACCAAUGGAGGUGGCUUCGACACUUCCCUGGACUCCCUUCUUUGGAUAUUGCCAAUUGUGGCGUUCUAACCGGCUCACCAGAUAUCAUCCAACUAUUAUCCUCUUUGGAGAAACUAUGCCUAGAAGACGAACACAUAGAAGAACUGCCGAAAUGGUUGGGUGAGCUCCCAUCUCUAAAGAAUCUGAAAAUCAGGCAUAGCAACGGUGUAAAGGAGUUGAACGAGAACAUGAGGCAACUCACAAAGCUUGAAUCACUAGAACUUGCAUUCUGCAAAAGCAUAUCUGUAGUGCCACAUUGGCUAGGCGAAUUGACCUCUCUCAAGAAACUUUGGAUAUCUAACAAUGGAGGCUUGAGGUCUUUGCCCGCAAGCAUACAACAACUCAGCAGCCUCCAGAAAAUAGUAAUUAUUGAUUGCGAUGCGUUAGAGCACGUGGUUGCUGAAUCAGAGGGGGGAAAGAGGAAGCUAACUGACAACCAACAAAGGGAAUCUGCCCUGCCCACGUCUCUAAAGAGUCUUCGUCUACGUGGAUGUGAUGGUAUCAAGUCUUUUCCUGAGGGAAUACAUCAACUCACUAACCUCCAAGAACUAGAAAUAACUAGCUGCACUGGACUAGAGCAAUGGUGUGAAUUAGAGGAAACCAAGUUGAAGCUGGCUCGCAUAGAAACGAAGCGGAUUUGGUUCUAG